rnacentral:lncRNA from 1 species
UUUCUUCUCUCUUUCUUAGUUGUUUCUCACUUUCUUCUGUUCACCACCUUUUCUGCAUGUCCAUUAUUUUCUUUCUGACCAUUAUUACAAUCAUCUCACUCUAUGUUUUGUUUACAAGGGCCUCUUACUUCUCUUCUUUUUCAAUCUGUUAGAUGACUUUAUUAUUUUUCAUAGAUGUUACUAGAUAGUGGGGUGGUUACUAAACAGUGAAAGUGUUAGUAGAUAAUGGUGUUAUGUUAUCUAAUCCAGUACUCUUCUUUCUUAUUUCCUAUUUCAUUUCUUCUUCUUCAGGUCUAUACUUAAAGUAACACAAUACAUCAGGUGUCAAAGUAUCUUAUUCUACAUUUAUGCUUAAAAAACCGAUUUUUAGUGUAGAAAUGUUUUAGAUCCUAUUUUUAUCGUUAAAAAUUGGAUAUUUAUUAUACAUCAGUUUGAUUUUAGCUUAAAAAUUCAAUCUUUAUCAUAGAAAUGUUCUAGAUCUAUUUAUAUGGUUAAAAAUCAUAUCUUUACCGUAAAAAUGUUCUGGAUUCUACUUUUAUUUUAAAAAUCGGACAUUUAUCAUACAUUACUUAGACUUAUUGAUUAAAUAUUCAUUCUUUAGUGUAGAAAUGUCCAUAACUUUUAUAUUUUUCAUAGAUGUUACUAGAUAGUGAGGUGGUUACUAAAUAGUGAAAGUGUUAGUAGAUAGUUGUGUUAUGUUAUCUAAUCCGCUACUUUUCAUUUCUUCUUUCUUAUUUCCUAUUUCAUUUCUUCUUAUUUAGGUCUAUAUUUAAAGUAACACAACACAUCAGGUAUCAAAGUAUCUUAUUCUACAUUUCUCCUUAAAAAACCGAUUUUUAGUGUACAAAUGUUUAAGAUCCUAUUUUUAUCGUUAAAAAUGAAUAUUUAUUAUACAUUAGUUGGAUUUUUGCUUAAAAAUUCAAUCGUUAUCAUAGAAAUGUUCUAGAUCUAUUUAUAUGGUUAAAAAUCAUAUCUUUAUUGUAUAUUUCUUACAUUUUUUGCUUAAAAAUAUAAUCUUUACCGUAAAAAUGUUCUGGACUCUACUUUUAUGUUUAAAAAUUGGACAUUUAUUAUACAUUACCCGGACUUAUUGAUUAAAUAUUCAUUCUUUAGUAUAGAAAUGUUCUAGAUCUUUUUUUAUUUUUAAAAAUUGGAUCUUUGUUAUACAUUACUUGAAUUUUUGUUCAAAAUUUUAUUCUUUAGCACUGAAAUGUUCUAGAUCCUUUUUUAUGGUUAAAAAUUGGAACAAUGUUAGUUGUGAUUACAUCUAUUUAAUCUAUUAUGUUCUAUAAUAAAACAUGUAAGACAUAUGAAGGAAACAUCAAAAUCUCUAUAAUAGAACUCACAUCCAACAUAGAUCUCUCAGUGUGGUGUGAAGACGGAUUUUUAUAGUGAUAUUUUUCUAUCAAUAACGCUGAGUAACGCUGAUUAAACUAUGUGUUGGUAACAUUAUUUUUCGUUUUAUUGAUAUUUUCUGUCCAGAAGUUGUAUCUAAUAGUGUCUGAAAUUUGUGAUAUUUCUUUAUGUACAUUUAAGAACUCUUCUGAUAUUCUUCUCCUACCUUAUUUAAUAAAGAACGCC